UACGUAGGGUGCAAGCGUUGUCCGGAAUUACUGGGCGUAAAGCGUGCGCAGGCGGUUUGCUAAGACAGGUGUGAAAUCCCCGGGCUUAACCUGGGAACUGCGCUUGUUACUGGCAAGCUGGAGUGUGGCAGAGGGGGGUGGAAUUCCACGUGUAGCAGUGAGAUGCGUAGAGAUGUGGAGGAACACCGAUGGCGAAGGCAGCCCCCUGGGCUAACACUGACGCUCAUGCACGAAAGCGUGGGGAGCAAACAGG
rnacentral:rRNA from 1 species